UGCCUUUGGAAUGCUUUUCUUUUUCAGGA
rnacentral:sRNA from 1 species